rnacentral:miRNA from 1 species
CAGGCAUAGGCCAACUCAGCCCUCCAGAUGUUUUGGGACUACAACUCCCACCAUCCCUGACCACUGGUCCUGUUAGCUAGGGAUGAUGGGAGUUGUAGUCCCAAACAUCUGGAGGGCCGAGUUUGCCUAUGCCUG